UACGUAGGGCGCGAGCGUUGUCCGGAUUUAUUGGGCGUAAAGAGCUCGUAGGCGGCUUGUUACGUCGGAUGUGAAAACCCAUGGCUCAACUGUGGGCUUGCAUCCGAUACGGGCAGGCUAGAGUUCGGUAGGGGAGACUGGAAUUCCUGGUGUAGCGGUGAAAUGCGCAGAUAUCAGGAGGAACACCGGUGGCGAAGGCGGGUCUCUGGGCCGAUACUGACGCUGAGGAGCGAAAGCGUGGGGAGCGAACAGG
rnacentral:rRNA from 1 species